rnacentral:lncRNA from 1 species
GCCAUUUUUAGCAUUCCUACCAUUAAUACAAAUAGACAUAAAUAACCUCAAUGGCACAGAUAAUAGUAAAAAUGUAGUUAAAUAAUUAGGGAGUGAUAAAUUUUGAGUAUUUAUUACUUUGUAAAAAACAAAAUUUUAGGUCAGGCAGUCUAGCUCACACCUGUAAUCCCAGUAUAAUAAUUGGCUCUCCCAAGCCCAUGUGGGUGAGUUCCAGCACCCCAGUGGUUCCAUACUUUAGUCUCCUGCCAAUCCCCUCAGUGGUCUGAGAACCAAUCCAACCCUUGCCCCUUGCACCCUUUCACAAACUUUAAGAAAAUAUUCUCCUCUGAAAGGCAGAAACCUGCUUUCUGGAUAUGUAUCUUACUCUCCCAUAACUUAAUUUCUAUAAAAACAUCUUCUCUUCCAGUUUUUAUUUAACUGUUAUUCUAGUCUGGCCCUAAGGUAAUUACAUUUCUGACCAAACCUGCACCAUCUUAGAAUUUACAGAAGUAAACAAUUGUUCCUGUGUUUGUAUUGUGAGUCACAUUUGGCCAAAAAGAAUUUGCAUUCCUUUAGAAGCUUCUAAAAUUACAGCACUUCCUAGUUCAGGAACCAGUAACUUUGGGGUAGAAAGUAAAAUGGGUAUAAGAUCACAUAACUGAGCAGAAUCAGGGGAUAUAUAUUUUAAGUUAGCCCUAAUAUACACAGUUAUUCUUGGACAACUGAUUUCCCUUAUUUAUAUAAAUCUCCAUUUUUCUCUCCUCUACAAACUAAGGAGGGUAAUAAUACUUGGUAUUCUUAAAGUUUGUGAGGGCUAAUAUUGCUCAAGUGAUUUAAGAACAUUGGCUAAUGGGGUGUUGGAAAUGUAGGUCAUCAUUUAUCAUCUAGACAUGAAUGUGAGUCAUUAAAGAUUGCAAUUCCAUGAACCUGACAAAAUCACUUUAAGCUUUGAAAAAU